AAUGAACGCUGGCGGCAGGCCUAACACAUGCAAGUCGAACGAGUGGCGGACGGGUGAGUAAUGCCUGGGAAACUGCCCGAUGGAGGGGGAUAACGACUGGAAACGGUAGCUAAUACCGCAUACCAUCGGAUGUGCCCAGAAGGGAUUAGCUAGUAGGUGGGGGAAUGGCUCACCUAGGCGACGAUCCCUAGCUGGUCUGAGAGGAUGACCAGCAACACUGGAACGGAGACACGGUCCAGACUCCUACGGGAGGCAGCAGUGGGGAAUAUUGGACAAUGGGCGAAAGCCUGAUGCAGCCAGGCCGCGUGUAUGAAGAAGGCCUUCGGGUUGUAAAGUAUUUUCAGCGGGGAGGCGUUACUCGCAGAAGAAGCACCGGCUAACUCCGUGCCAGCAGCCGCGGUAAUUC
rnacentral:rRNA from 1 species